UUAAUUUCUGAUAUUGUAACUAAAUCUGAUACGAAACUGAAGUUUAAAAUUGCUACACCAUAUAUUGAUAUCGUCAACACUUUACAGAGAUAUUUUAUAAACAAAAUGUUUUCAUUCAUCUAUACCCAAUCUUUUUUAACGUUACAACUCAAAACAUGAAUUGGAGUACUUCCAAAUUUUGAGUUGGGAUUAAGGAUCAUUAGUGGAAACUUCAUUGUCCCGUCCUACAGCAUUGAUUUCCGCAAGAUCCUCAACCUCUUCUAGUUUUACUCGCUCACUGCCAGAAUUUAUACGGUCACGUUCGGCAGCUGCUAAUUUCACGGCAACUCUACGACUGUAGUCAACAAAACUUCUUGCUCUUGGCCCUUCUAGUGUCUCAAUAUACUUGUUUAAAACACUGUCAUCUUCAACCAAUUGGAACAAAGCCAAAAAUGCAGCUUCUGCUGCAAGUUUUACGGGAAUCACAAUGGCCCUAACACAACCGAAUAUCGCAGGAGCUAGAAUGGAAAUAUGUGGUUUAAUAAGACUAUAAUUUUCCUUGCUCACAACCCUUAUGAUUAAAAGUGCGAGACGUCGUGAAUCUUGAGAAGUUGAAGGUGGAGCCUCGAUGUUAACCUUCAGUGCCUCAACUAAAUUCUUGGCAUUUCCGAAACUCUGUGGAAUAUCAGCCAAAAGUGCUUUACCAAGAGCCAAAAUACCAUUUUCAGCAAUUGUAACUUCCUUCUGUAAACUCGCAGUUGAGAUAAUCGAACAAACUAUGUCUGAUAACUUCAACUCAAUAAUUUUUUGAGAACCAAACUUCACAGCAGCAUUCAAUAUCAGUACCGAAAAUUCAGACUGAAUCUCUAAACUCAAAACCUUACUUUCUAACAGCUGCUUUGCUUGAGCGUCAGGUAGAUGACUGAAUAAUGCACCGUAUAACUUGGCGCAAAUUACCAUGUGUUCACUACUUUCUGCAGAUAUUUCGUCAAGGAGCUGUUCAAUGGCUUCUGCGGAUGCUUCAUUCAUAUUCUGCCCAGACUUUGAAACAACAGCAAAAAGUGCGUUAAGCAUAGCCUUACGAACACCCGCAUCGGGAGUCCGUGCACCAGAUACAAGCUCCGUGAUAAUGGGAGCAAGUCUUGUUUGUAAGGUAAUCAGAGUUCCUAAUGCUGUUGCUGCACGACUCCGAAUGACUUCGCUAGAUGGAUCACCCAAACAUUUUGCAAAUGUCCUCUGCAAUUGGGGCAAAAACGGGCGCAAAAAUGUAGAGAUUUUAGAUAAAAUAAUAUUAAGCGUAUACAGAAUAGCGCACUUAACCUCGACCGGGAAUCGUUCACCAAUAAUACGAAUUAAUGGUCCUGUUAUUUGAGUAACAAAAGGACGAAGUUUGCUUGGUUCAGUCUUUAAAACAAUGUCUGCAAUACCUAAAGCAGAUUGUUCUCGCUGAUCCAUUGUUCCAUGCAUUAAUCCGUAAAGGAAAAUAGGUAAAAUGGAAUUGACGCCCUGAGCAACUUCAAACGCCGGAAGAUUAACGCCUUGAGAUCCCACAUCGCGAAGGCUAUGAUAGGCAAUUGAAACUAAAGAAUCCAACUGGUCUUUGCGAAGAGCCGAAACAAGAGUAUUCUGAGCAGCAACUGCAGCAACCACAACAUCUUGACUCUUGUCUUCGAAGAGAGUAAUAA